rnacentral:misc_RNA from 1 species
UCUCCACUCUUGUUUCUCCUUCCACACUAUCUAAAAUCACUUUAGCUAAUGGUUCACAAACUGUAGUUAGAGGCAUAGGAGAAGUAAAACCACUUCCUUCUAUUCCCUUAACAACAGUCUUAUUUGCUCUUGAAUGCCCAUAUAAUCUGAUCUCCAUUAGCAAAUUAACUAAAAAUCUUAAUUGUUCUGUAAACUUUACCACUGAUUCUGUUAUUGUGCAAAACAAGAGUACGGGCAAGAUGAUUGGAACAGGAUAUGAGUCACAAGGACUGUACCAUCUCUCCACUCCAAAUCUCCCAAUUGCUUUUGUCUCCACAACUUCCGCUGAUCUCAUCCACAAUCGUCUAGGUCAUCCAAGUCUUGCCAAGCUACAGAAAAUAGUUCCCAGCCUUUCUACAUUGUCUUCUUUCGAAUGUGAGUCAUGUCAACUUGGG